rnacentral:rRNA from 1 species
GACGAACGCUGGCGGCGUGCCUAAUACAUGCAAGUCGAACGCACUGGGGACGGGUGAGUAACCCGUGGGUAACCUCCCAUCAGAGGGGAUAACCCUUGGAAACAGGUGCUAAACCGAUACUGGUGGAGGGACCCGCUGGGGAUUAGCUAGUUGGUGAGGUAACGGCCCACCAAGGCCACGAUGCAUAGCCGACCUGAGAGGGUGAUCGGCCACACGGGGACUGAGACACGGCCCAGACUCCUACGGGAGGCAGCAGUAGGGAAUCUUCGGCAAUGGACGAAAGUCUGACCGAGCAACGCCGCGUGAGUGAAGAAGGUUUUCGGAUCGUAAAACUCUGUUGUUAGAGAAGCGGUAUCUAACCAGAAAGCCACGGCUAACUACGUGCCAGCAGCCGCGGUAAUUC